rnacentral:rRNA from 1 species
AGUCGAACGGCAGCAUGGAGAGCUUGCUCUCUGAUGGCGAGUGGCGAACGGGUGAGUAAUAUAUCGGAACGUGCCCAAUAAUGGGGAAUAACUAGCCGAAAGGUUAGCUAAUACCGCAUACGACCUACGGGUGAAAGCAGGGGAUCUUUUGACCUUGCGUUAUUGGAGCGGCCGAUAUCUGAUUAGCUUGUUGGUAGGGUAAAAGCCUACCAAGGCAACGAUCAGUAGCUGGUCUGAGAGGACGAUCAGCCACACUGGAACUGAGACACGGCCCAGACUCCUACGGGAGGCAGCAGUGGGGAAUUUUGGACAAUGGGCGCAAGCCUGAUCCAGCAAUACCGCGUGCAGGAAGAAGGCCUUCGGGUUGUAAACUGCUUUUGUACGGAACGAAAAGGUCUGGGUUAAUACCCUGGGUCCAUGACGGUACCGUAAGAAUAAGCACCGGCUAACUACGUGCCAGCAGCCGCGGUAAUACGUAGGGUGCAAGCGUUAAUCGGAAUUACUGGGCGUAAAGCGUGCGCAGGCGGUUAUGUAAGACAGGCGUGAAAUCCCCGGGCUCAACCUGGGAAUUGCGCUUGUGACUGCAAGGCUAGAGUACGGUAGAGGGGGGUAGAAUUCCGCGUGUAGCAGUGAAAUGCGUAGAUAUGCGGAGGAACACCGAUGGCGAAGGCAGCCCCCUGGACCUGUACUGACGCUCAUGCACGAAAGCGUGGGGAGCAAACAGGAUUAGAUACCCUGGUAGUCCACGCCGUAAACGAUGUCUACUAGCCGUUGGGGAUUUUAUUCUUAGUGGCGCAGCUAACGCGAUAAGUAGACCGCCUGGGGGAGUACGGCCGCAAGGUUAAAACUCAAAUGAAUUGACGGGGGCCCGCACAAGCGGUGGA